UACGUAGGGUGCAAGCGUUGUCCGGAAUUAUUGGGCGUAAAGAGCUCGUAGGCGGCUUGUCACGUCGGGUGUGAAAGCCCGGGGCUUAACCCCGGGUCUGCAUUCGAUACGGGCUAGCUAGAGUGUGGUAGGGGAGAUCGGAAUUCCUGGUGUAGCGGUGAAAUGCGCAGAUAUCAGGAGGAACACCGGUGGCGAAGGCGGGACUCUGGGCCGAUACUGACGCUGAGGAGCGAAAGCGUGGGGAGCGAACAGG
rnacentral:rRNA from 1 species